rnacentral:piRNA from 1 species
UGGAUAAAGAGUCAAGACCCGUCAGUGUGC